rnacentral:tRNA from 1 species
GGGGUUGUGGCUCAGUGGUAGAGCACUCACCUAGCACAUGUGAGGCGCUGGGUUCAAUCCUCAGCACCACA